GAUGAACGCUGGCGGCGUGCCUAAUACACGCAAGUCGAGCGAACGGACGAGAAGCUUGCUUCUCUGAUGUUAGCGGCGGACGGGUGAGUAACACGUGGAUAACCUACCUAUAAGACUGGGAUAACUUCGGGAAACCGGAGCUAAUACCGGAUAAUAUUUUGAACCGCAUGGUUCAAAAGUGAAAGACGGUCUUGCUGUCACUUAUAGAUGGAUCCGCGCUGCAUUAGCUAGUUGGUAAGGUAACGGCUUACCAAGGCAACGAUGCAUAGCCGACCUGAGAGGGUGAUCGGCCACACUGGAACUGAGACACGGACCAGACGCCUACGGGAGGCAGCAGUAGGGAAUCUUCCGCAAUGGGCGAAAGCCUGACGGAGCAACGCCGCGUGAGUGAUGAAGGUCUUCGGAUCGUAAAACUCUGUUAUUAGGGAAGAACAUAUGUGUAAGUAACUGUGCACAUCUUGACGGUACCUAAUCAGAAAGCAACGGCUAACUACGUG
rnacentral:rRNA from 1 species